rnacentral:rRNA from 1 species
AUUGAACGCUGGCGGCAGGCCUAACACAUGCAAGUCGACCGGAAGAAGGGAGCUUGCUCCUGGAUUCAGCGGCGGACGGGAGAGUAAUGCCUAGGAAUCUGCCUCGUAGUGGGGGAUAACGUCCGGAAACGGGCGCUAAUAACGCAUACGUCCUGAGGUAGAAAGUGGGGGAUCUUCGGACCUCACGCUCUCAGAUCAUCCUAGGUCGGAUUGGCUAGUUGGCGGGGUAAAGGCCUACCAAGGCGACGAUCCGUAACUGGCCGAAGAGGAUGAUCAGUCACACUGGAACGGAGACGCGGUCCGGACUCCUACGGACGGCAGCAGUGGGAAAUAUUGGACAGUGGGCGGAAGCCGGAUCCAGCCAUGCCGCGUGUAUGAUGAGGAUCUUGGGAUUGUAAAGCACUUUAAGUUGGGAGGAAGGGCAGUACGUUGAGACCUUGAUAUUUUGACGUUACCAACAGAAUAAGCAACGGCUAACUGCGUG